AUCCUCUUAGCUCAAAGGGGAGAGCGUUUGUUUCCUAAACAGAAGAUAUGGGUUCGAUUCCUGUAGGGGCCA
rnacentral:tRNA from 1 species